rnacentral:rRNA from 1 species
UACGAAAGGGGCUAGCGUUGUUCGGAUUUACUGGGCGUAAAGGGCACGCAGGCGGUCUUGCCAGUCAGGGGUGAAAGCCCGGGGCUCAACCCCGGAACUGCCUCUGAUACUGCAAGACUAGAGACUAGGAGAGGGUGGUGGAAUUCCCAGUGUAGAGGUGAAAUUCGUAGAUAUUGGGAGGAACACCAGAGGCGAAGGCGGCCACCUGGACUAGAUCUGACGCUCAGGUGCGAAAGCGUGGGGAGCAAACAGG